GACGAACACUGGCGGCGUGCCUAAUACAUGCAAGUAGAACGCACAGUUUAUACCGUAGCUUGCUACACCAUAAACUGUGAGUUGCGAACGGGUGAGUAACGCGUAGGUAACCUGCCUGGUAGCGGGGGAUAACUAUUGGAAACGAUAGCUAAUACCGCAUAAUAUUGAUUAUUGCAUGAUAAUUGAUUGAAAGAUGCUAUUGCAUCACUACCAGAUGGACCUGCGUUGUAUUAGCUAGUAGGUGAGGUAACGGCUCACCUAGGCGACGAUACAUAGCCGACCUGAGAGGGUGAUCGGCCACACUGGGACUGAGACACGGCCCAGACUCCUACGGGAGGCAGCAGUAGGGAAUCUUCGGCAAUGGACGAAAGUCUGACCGAGCAACGCCGCGUGAGUGAAGAAGGUUUUCGGAUCGUAAAGCUCUGUUGUAAGAGAAGAACGGGUGUGAGAGUGGAAAGUUCACACUGUGACGGUAUCUUACCAGAAAGGGACGGCUAACUACGUG
rnacentral:rRNA from 1 species